CGCUAUCCCACUCCGGCCUGGACUGCGGCGGGAGGCUGCUGUCGCCGCCCAGCCCUUGCUGGAGCCUAUCUAGUG
ensembl:miRNA bta-mir-2316 bta-mir-2316